rnacentral:rRNA from 1 species
UACGUAGGGGGCGAGCGUUGUCCGGAAUUAUUGGGCGUAAAGCGCGCGCAGGCGGUCUUUUAAGUCUGAUGUGAAAGCCCACGGCUUAACCAUGGAGGGUCAUUGGAAACUGGGAGACUUGAGUACAGAAGAGGAGAGUGGAAUUCCACGUGUAGCGGUGAAAUGCGUAGAGAUGUGGAGGAACACCAGUGGCGAAGGCGACGUCUCUGGUCUGUAACUGACGCUGAGGCGCGAAAGCGUGGGUAGCGAA